rnacentral:rRNA from 1 species
AGAGUUUGAUCAUGGCUCAGGACGAACGCUGGCGGCGCGCCUAACACAUGCAAGUCGAACGAGCGAGAGAGAGCUUGCUUUCUCGAGCGAGUGGCGAACGGGUGAGUAACGCGUGAGGAACCUGCCUCAAAGAGGGGACAACAGUUGGAAACGACUGCUAAUACCGCAUAAGCCCACGGGUCGGCAUCGACCAGAGGGAAAGGAGCAAUCCGCUUUGAGAUGGCCUCGCGUCCGAUUAGCUAGUUGGUGAGGUAACGGCCACCAAGGCGACGGAUCGGUAGCCGGACUGAGAGGUUGAACGGCCACAUUGGGACUGAGACACGGCCCAGACUCCUACGGGAGCA